UACGUAGGGGGCAAGCGUUGUCCGGAUUUAUUGGGCGUAAAGAGCGUGUAGGCGGCCAGGUAGGUCAGCUGUGAAAACUCGAGGCUCAACCUCGAGACGUCGGUUGAAACCACCUGGCUAGAGUCCGGAAGAGGAGAGUGGAAUUCCUGGUGUAGCGGUGAAAUGCGCAGAUAUCAGGAAGAACACCCGUGGCGAAGGCGGCUUACUGGGGCCUUUCUGACGCUGAGGAACGAAAGCCAGGGGAGCGAACGGG
rnacentral:rRNA from 1 species